UUCCAUAGACUAAACAAUCCCAGUUCCCUCAGCCUCUCCUCAUAAAUCAUGUGUUCCAGACCUCUAAUCAUUUUGUUGCCCUUCGCUGGACUCGCUCCAAUUUGUCCAUUGUAGACCCUCUCCUGUUUUGUCUGUUGUGGUGAGUUUUAUAUUUACUUUGAUUGCGUUACAUGACCAGAGCCUAAAAGGACCACUAUUUCACUUUUAUAGGUGGGUAUCAACUAAUAGCAGUUACUAAGGUAUUUAGAUUUUUGUAGAUAGCAAUCAGAAUCUUGUAUUUACCUCUCUCUUAUCCCUUUGCAGGACAUGUUGCAAUAUUUUUUCCCUUUUACAUGGACUUGCUAGUGCUCCUUAUGAGUGUAACAUAAGUGGCUGUCAUUGCGGGGGAAGGAUGAAAUAAUCUGACCCCUUUUCCCAUCCCCACUAUGGGGAGGUUCCUAGCCACUUAGUUUGCUUAAGCACAGUGCCAGUAUGAAGUCCCUCAGCGCAUCUCAUCUGUGCAGAUUCCAUACUCGAUAAAACCCUUACUUUAAAAAGAAGAAACCAGCUGGA